AACGAACGCUGGCGGCAGGCUUAACACAUGCAAGUCGAGCGGGCCCUUCGGGGUCAGCGGCCGACGGGUGAGUAACACGUGGGAACGUACCUUUUGGUUCGGAACAACUCCGGGAAACUGGAGCUAAUACCGGAUAAGCCCUUAGGGGGAAAGAUUUAUCGCCAAAAGAUCGGCCCGCGUCUGAUUAGCUAGUUGGUGGGGUAACGGCCCACCAAGGCGACGAUCAGUAGCUGGUCUGAGAGGAUGAUCAGCCACACUGGGACUGAGACACGGCCCAGACUCCUACGGGAGGCAGCAGUGGGGAAUAUUGGACAAUGGGCGCAAGCCUGAUCCAGCCAUGCCGCGUGAGUGAUGAGGGCCUUAGGGUUGUAAAGCUCUUUUGUCCGGGAAGAUAAUGACUGUACCGGAAGAAUAAGCCCCGGCUAACUUCGUG
rnacentral:rRNA from 1 species